UACGUAGGUGCAAGCGUUAUCCGGAUUUACUGGGUGUAAAGGGAGCGUAGGCGGCGCGUUAAGUCUGAUGUGAAAACCCGAGGCUCAACCACGGGAGUGCAUUGGAAACUGGCGGGCUGGAGUGCCGGAGAGGUAAGCGGAAUUCCUAGUGUAGCGGUGAAAUGCGUAGAUAUUAGGAGGAACACCAGUGGCGAAGGCGGCUUACUGGACGGCAACUGACGCUGAGGCUCGAAAGCGUGGGGAGCAAACAGG
rnacentral:rRNA from 1 species